CUGUGGUUCUGUUUUGUUGGUUUCCAGGACCAGAGUAAUGAUUAAUAGGGACAGUUGGGGGCAUUAGUAUUGCGUUGUCAGAGGUGAAAUUCUUGGAUUUACGCAAGACUAACUCUUGCGAAAGCAUCUGCCAAGGAUGUUUUCAUUAAUCAAGAACGAAAGUUAGGGGAUCGAAGACGAUUAGAUACCGUCGUAGUCUUAACCAUAAACGAUGCCGACCAGGGAUCGGACGAUGCUUUUAUUGGCUCGUUCGGCACCUUGAGAGAAAUCAGAGUGUUUGGGUUCCGGGGGGAGUACUGUCGCAAGGCUGAAACUUAAAGGAAUUGACGGAAGGGCACCACCAGGAGUGGAGCCUGCGGCUUAAUUUGACUCAACACGGGGAAACUCACCAGGUCCAGA
rnacentral:rRNA from 1 species